AUAGAGGUGGUAGGGAAGCGAAAGCGGACCGACCCUUCCGGGGAGGCCUCUACAGGUGUUGCAUGGCUGUCGUCAGCUCGUGUCGUGAGAUGUUCGGUUAAGUCCGCUAACGAGCGCAACCCUCGCUGUGUGUUACAAGUGUCACACGGUACUGCCGGUAUUAAGUCGGAGGAAGGUGGGGAUGACGUCAAGUCAGCAUGACCUUUAUAUCCAGGGCUACACACACGCUACAAUGGUCAGUACAAUAGGUUGCCAAGCCGCGAGGCGGAGCCAAUCCUAAAAAGCUGGCCUCAGUUCAGAUUGCAGUCUGCAACUCGACUGCAUGAAGUUGGAGUUGCUAGUAACCGCAGGUCAGCUAUACUGCGGUGAAUACGUUCCCGGGGAUU
rnacentral:rRNA from 1 species